rnacentral:lncRNA from 1 species
UUCUUUAGGGUCGAAACACUUCAUUCUGCAUCCACAGAACUUUCAGAGUCAGGUCUGAACUUUCAGACAAUUUUACCUGGAUGACUGUAGAUUAAUUUGUCUGUGUGGUUUGUUAUUAGGCUAAUCUAUACAAAAAAUACACUUACACCAGAAUUCUGUUUAUGGACUUCAGCUCAGCAUUCUGUCAUCCCUCAGAAGCUGACGAGGAAGCUGGACCUGCUGGGAAUAAGCUCUCUGCUCUGCAGCUAGAUCUUGGACUUCCUAAGAGACAGGGCCCAGUCUGUGUCUAAAGAAAUAACACCUCCAAGGUCCUCAGACUGAGCACAGAUUCCCCACAGGGAUGUGUGCUCAGCUCACUGCUGGUCACUCUGCUGAGUACAGGUCGAACCACACCAUCAAGUUCUCAGAUGACACAACAGUAGUGGGGCUCAUCAGUCAGAGCUCUCAACUCGCUGCCGUCACUAACAAAUAAUAAGCCCUAUAAUUUUUGUGGUAUUGAUUUCUUCAUUCCAGUUUCAUAUUUAUGGAGCUUCAUCAGAAAGGCCAGAUAUAUAUUUGUUAAACAUAGAUUCAAUUUUAUUAAUAGAUGGAUUAAACUUACCAAAAUUCUUUGUGGGUGCACGUAUGAAGUGUUUUGCCACCCCAUACGAGACAGCCCCCCUUCCAGUGAGUAUGCAUGAAGUAGUAUAAAAGAAUCCAUCAUGGUGCACUGCUGGUGUGCGUGGCUCUGGUUCAUCCCACACUGGUCCAUUUCGGCAGAUCGACAGGACAGCCGUGAAAAUGAGAACUGUUAGGUGACUGUGAAUGGUUUGUAGCUAGAGCCCUCUGGUGGCUAAUUAAUAUUCAUUCAUAUUUUCUCUUCACAGCGAUCCAUGAAAAAGAAAGAAUGCUGAACAGAGAAACAGAUAGAAACUUGGAGACGACAUCUUCUGACUCUUCAGGAGACGACAUCUUCCGGCUCUUCAGGAGACGACAUCUUCCAGCUCUUCAGGAGACGACAUCUUCCGGCUCCUUUCAGGAGACGACAUCUUCCGGCUCUUCAGGAGACAACAUCUUCCGGCUCCUUUCAGGAGACGACAUCUUCCGGCUCUUCAGGAGACGACAUCUUCUGGCUCUUCAGGAGACGACAUCUUCCGGCUCUUCAGGAGACAACAUCUUCCGGCUCCUUUCAGGAGACGACAUCUUCCGGCUCUUCAGGAGACGACAUCUUCUGGCUCUUCAGGAGACGACAUCUUCCGGCUCUUCAGGAGACGACAUCUUCCGGCUCUUCAGGAGACAACAUCUUCCGGCUCUUCAGGAGACAACAUCUUCCGGCUCCUUUCAGGAGACGACAUCUUCCGGCUCUUCAGGAGACAACAUCUUCCGGCUCCUUUCAGGAGACGACAUCUUCCGGCUCUUCAGGAGACGACAUCUUCUGGCUCUUCAGGAGACGACAUCUUCCGGCUCCUUUUAGGACACGACAUCUUCUGGCUCCUUUCAGCAGAUGACAUCUUUCCAGCUCAUUUUUUUACUUUUUUUUUUUUUUUUUUAGAAAAAUAGUUAAAAGACUACACACUGAAAUCACUGAUUAUAAAUAAUGAUAGAAAUGAUGUAUGUCAAUCAUUAGUAUUCUGUAUUUGGUACAGUAUAUAAAAUCCUUCUUUGACUGACAUUGGUUUAUUGUAAUUUCAGAACUGUGAAUUCCUGAGGAAAAGGCCAAUAUGAAGACCACCUCCAACCACAAGGACCAUCACUUUUUAUAUUGUUGAUGGUUAGAUACUUUGUAGAUUUUUAAGAUUUGUUGAUACUUUAAUUGAGUAGUUAAAUAUUUCAAGGGAAAUAUAGUGCUGUAUUAUUGAUACGUUUUUGUCAGGAUUGCCUGCAGCUGGGCUCCACACCGGAAUGCAAUCCUGACGCCCCAUAAAUGCCGUAAGUUUCCGCCCGUUCGGGGUCGCUGGCAUUUUCGUGAACUUUAGUUGGUAACACUGUUCGUAAUUUGAGUUCUGGCAAUCGCCACACGCCUACGGGUUAGUUUCAGUUCCUUAUUUAAGUUAAAUCGUUUUCGGCCACCGCGCCAGUCUUUAUUUGUGUUUCUUUAUUGUUUAUUUGUUAAUAAAAACCCCUUCCCAACAUGUCA